rnacentral:lncRNA from 1 species
GAUGACCCGGCAGCCGCCGCCCUGCAACCGCUCCCCGGGACCCGUCAGCGCUGACACUGAUGACCCGCGGCGGGGGCGCUGGGCGCGGGGUGCGCAGGCCACUGGCCGCGGGCCCUCGGACCCGCUCCUGCCGCCGGCUUCCGCUGCUUCCGCGUGCUGUGGACACUGCCAGAAUUUGUCAAAGGUCCUAGGAAGAAAAGGCCCUUUCGCCCCUCACCUCAGUGAACAGAUGGUGUGUUUGGACUGUUCGCAUUCGCUCCUCAUAGGUGGGAUCCUGGAGGAAUUUAAGGGGUGCUCCGUUCCCUGGGGAUGGGACAGCAGCUCGCCUUUUUACUAAUAGCUAUAAGGGACUGUCAGACAUUUACCUGACUAGACCUUCACCUCAGAGCUCAGAAGGGGAACAGCUCCAGAACUAAAAGAGAGAGCCUCUGGCAGACCCCAAAAGACAGCAUGUGGAGUGAAGCUGGGCUUCCCUGCCCAAUCACUAGGAUCAUUUAUUGCACAAAUACCUGUAUUUUAAGCUGCAGAUUAUUGUGAAUUUUUGUAUUUUCUUCAUUUCCAUUUAGCUUUUUUUCAAUUUUAGAAUAACCUUUCUCUAGAUAACUCGAGGAAGCGGGAGACAGAAUUUCCUUUGUUUCUGUCUUGAGCCCAAAGGGACAAUUGAGUGUCAGAUAUGACAGGGAUAAAGGG